CUUCUACUUUAACAUGGAGGUGCUUUCUGUGAUUUAAAAAGUAAGUGCUUCCAUGUUUUAGUAGAGGUG